UACGUAGGUGGCAAGCGUUGUCCGGAAUUAUUGGGCGUAAAGCGCGCGCAGGCGGUCCUUUAAGUCUGAUGUGAAAUCCCGUGGCUUAACCACGGGCGGUCAUUGGAAACUGGGGGACUUGAGUGCAGAAGAGAAGAGCGGAAUUCCACGUGUAGCGGUGAAAUGCGUAGAGAUGUGGAGGAACACCAGUGGCGAAGGCGGCAUCCUGGACCGGCAUUGACGCUGAGGCGCGAAAGCCAGGGGAGCAAACGGG
rnacentral:rRNA from 1 species